CUUGAUUACUGUAGAAUCAUUCUAAUUUCACAAAAUAGUUUACAUUUUAGGUUUGGAUGGUAACAACAUAAAAUUAAUUAAUAGAUUCUACAAAUUUUUGUUCAUUUUUUUUUGAGGCAGCGUCUUGUUAGUGGUCUCUCUAGAGAGAGACUGGAGACCCCCGAGAGCACCGACCUUUAAAGAAAGAAAAGGAGAGAGCCUGGGGGAUGAACAGCAGUUUAUUCUCCUGACACUGUUCGACAAUCACAAAGGAAAGAGUUCUUUAACAGGUGGUAAGAACCAUUCAGAGUUAAUGAUGUUCUUUAUCUACUGUAUUAAGUGGAGCCAGUAAAAUAUUUAAGGAUCAUAGCAAGAAGUAAGAAAAAGCUGUCAUGUUGAAGUCUCAUGAAGCAAAGACCUCUUACACUGUGAGAACAAAACAUAAGGUUGUGAGAGCCCAAGGAUCUUGCUAUGUGUCCAGUCUGACAUUGAACUCACUGUUUAACUCAGGCUGGCCUUGACCUCACAGUGAUCCUCCUGCCUCAGCCUCUGGAGUGCUGGGAUUACAGAUGUGCAC
ensembl:lncRNA